UAUUCUGACUGUAGGGAUGUUGGUUAGGGACAGGUGUACUUGGGUAACUGCCUGUGGGGUCCAGUAUUCUGACUGGGGAUGUUGGUUAGGGACAGGUGUACUUGGGUAACUGCCUGUGGGGUCCAGUAUUCUGACUGGGGAUGUUGGUUAGGGACAGGUGUACUUGGGUAACUGCCUGUGGGGUCCAGUAUUCUGACUGGGGAUGUUGGUUAGGGACAGGUGUACUUGGGUAACUGCCUGUGGGGUCCAGUAUUCUGACUGUAGGGAUGUUGGUUAGGGACAGGUGUACUUGGGUAACUGCCUGUGGGGUCCAGUAUUCUGACUGGGGAUGUUGGUUAGGGACAGGUGUACUUGGGUAACUGCCUGUGGGGUCCAGUAUUCUGACUGUAGGGAUGUUGGUUAGGGACAGGUGUACUUGGGUAACUGCCUGUGGGGUCCAGUAUUCUGACUGUAGGGAUGUUGGUUAGGGACAGGUGUACUUGGGUAACUGCCACCAUUGGAGCCAACGCUGCUGGAGAGCAGAGGCUCUUCUGGAGAGUAGCAGGUUCUGGAGAAGACCACCUGUUCAUUUGGACUGUGUAUUAUAUACUGCACUGCCUAUGGGAUCUCAAAGCAGAAGUUGAAAUACUGUACAUGGCCUGUCUGUUUAGGACUACUAGGAUAUUCAGUCCAGUUCAAUGAGAGGUGGCCGUGGUCAUUUGUUGUAAGGUUCAUAUUCCCUAAGUAACCAAUCACAGCCAGAAAAGGUGAGGAAUAUAUUCUGCAAUGGUUAUAAAAAAAUAAAUAAGAAAUACAUUCCUAUGUCUGAUUUUUGUUUUUGGAUUCCAAAAAUAAAAAGAUUUUCCGCUCUUUUCACUAAUUGAAAAUGGCUGCCUCUUGUUAGAUAUUCCAGUUUUUAAGUCAUUUUUUGGAUAAGAACGUCGUCAUAUCCUGUAUUUGCACAAAAUACUUGUCUGCUUGCUAUACAACCACUAGAAAAUGUGUGUAUGCAUGGCCUAAAGUUUGCGGGGAGGUAAGGAAAAUUGUCUCACUCAUAUUUCGGGGUAUAUUUUGUGCAUACCAAACGUUUAUAAAUGAGGGCCCUAAAAUGUCAUUCCAGUACAUGAACACAGCACCUAAUUACUUUUAUGGGAUUUUUUUGAAUGACAGUUUCAUUUUAAGCAACUUGAAGCAUGUCAAUUCACAACUGUGUGUAUAUAUUGACU